CGAAGCUGAUGAACUAAUGGAAGAUAUUGAGGCUUUUCGCUAUAUGGUGAGGGAAACAGGAUAUGACAGGGGCCGAGGAGCGAAAAGCACCUCUAUAUUGGAAAAAAUCAAAGGAGUUGUCUCCUAAACAAAUUGACGAGGAAGCCGAGAAAACAAAGUUGCCAGUAGGGC